AGUGGCGCACGGGUGAGUAACACGUGGAUAAUCUGCCUGGCGAUUCGGGAUAACACUUCGAAAGGGGUGCUAAUACCGGAUAAGCCCACAGUCUCUUCGGAGAGUGCGGGAAAAGGGGGCCUCUGUAUAUGCUCCUGUCGCUAGAUGAGUCCSCGGCCCAUUAGCUAGUUGGUAGGGUAAUGGCCUACCAAGGCGACGAUGGGUAGCUGGUCUGAGAGGAUGAUCASCCMCACUGGAACUGAGACACGGUCCAGACUCCUACGGGAGGCAGCAGUGGGGAAUUUUGCGCAAUGGGCGAAAGCCUGACGCAGCAACGCCSCGUGAGUGAUGAAGGCUUUCGGGUCGUAAAGCUCUGUCAGAGGGGAAGAAAUGAAACGUGCUAAUAUCACGUUUUCUUGACGGUACCCUCAAAGGAAGCACCGGCUAACUCCGUGCCAGCAGCCGCGGUAAUAC
rnacentral:rRNA from 2 species